rnacentral:lncRNA from 1 species
AACUUUUUGUAACCAUUGUUUUGGCUGUCUUGAUCUAUGUUUUUGAAUUGCAUGCUUAUCUUCUUAAAGCACUUUGGGCGUGAAAAAAUGCCAAUUUUCUUAAUGCCCUUGCACUUCAUCGAUCACGCUUAGCAGCAUAGUAUCUUCAGGUACCUUUUUAUCACAUUUCGGCAUUCAUGCAUAGUUAUGCAAUUUUGGACAUUCA